rnacentral:rRNA from 1 species
UACAGAGGGUGCGAGCGUUGUUCGGAAUUAUUGGGCGUAAAGCGCGUGUAGGCGGCUUUGCAAGUCGGGUGUGAAAGCCCUCAGCUUAACUGAGGAAGUGCGCCCGAAACUGCAUUGCUUGAGUACCGGAGAGGAUGGCGGAAUUCCCCAAGUAGAGGUGAAAUUCGUAGAUAUGGGGAGGAACACCGGUGGCGAAGGCGGCAUCUGGCCUGUUCUUGACGCUGAGGCGCGAAAAGCUAGGGGAGCAAACGGGG